CACUGCGGCACCUACAGGCCAGAGCGGGUCCGCCAUGUUAGUACCCGAACUGCGCGAUGAAGUGUCUCCAUCCACCAAGAGCCACCGUCCAUCGCCAGAUUUUUCUUCUUGUGGGAAGCUACUUAUUGCUGAACAAAAGAUGGAAUAGAUGCAAAGACGGGUACAUUUCACGGCUGGAACUGAUCUACCGACCGAUUUACCACAGAGCCACAUUUACACACGGCAUGGCAGCCAUUGUUAGCCUGAGAUUUUCAACAUUUUGCAAGAAAACCGAGCAAUUUAAGUUACAAAGGACUGCGCAAAAAAAAUCACCGCAGAAUGUACGAGAAAAGGGGCGAGGACCUUUCGCUUGAGCAAGUGGUGAGAUUUGAAUUGGAAUAUCUUCUUUGCCAUGCAGCCCUAUUCUUCAAUUUCACCAGCAGUCAAACCACGCCCUUCAUCUUUCACAGAUCAAAUCUUGGAAAAGGGUGACUUUAAAAUAAAAUCAGUUCACCUAUUUAACAUGUUUUAAUUUUUGUAGAAGGAUGAGCAAAGAAGAAAGCACAAGGGACACUGAAAGCUUUAAUAGAACAUGAGAAGAGGAAUAAUGAAAUGUGUGUUAUGUAGACAUCUGCAGUGAGGGUGGAGAUGUGACGGGAUUGCAGAAUGCGGACUAUGAGGAAAGUAGUUUGACCGACUCUGCAGUUGCUGCAGAAUUUAUAUCACACUUCCAUCAUGUACCCUUGACUUUGCAAUGUCGAAAAGACAAAGGCUACACACGAUAUUGUGCUAAAAUUACAGUGUGCUGUGAUUGUUUUAGAUGAAGUUUAAAUUAGCUAUAUUGCUGCAA